UACAGAGGUCCCAAGCGUUGUUCGGAUUCACUGGGCGUAAAGGGUGCGUAGGCGGUUGGGUAAGUCUGAUGUGAAAUCUCACAGCUUAACUGUGAAACUGCAUUGGAUACUAUCCAACUCGAGGAAUGGAGGGGAGACUGGAAUACUUGGUGGUAGCAGUGAAAUGCGUAGAUAUCAAGUGGACACCAGUGGCGAAGCGAGUCUCUGGACAUUUCCUGACGCUGAGGCACGAAA
rnacentral:rRNA from 1 species